UCAGACAUUUUGGACUGCAACUCCUCCUUUGUUGUUCUUCAGUUCGGCCAUCAAAUCCAUCCACACCAUCGCUGGGAUAUUUAUGCUUGGCUCGUCCAAUUCUGACCCUGCUGCUCCCACUCUCUUUCUAUUGCAAGAAAAGUGCAUCAAAAUGUCUUCAAGAAUCCCAGGAAUGUGAAACCCAGGAGGAAAUUGCAUUAGGCAAUGUUGGAACAGUCGUGCACCAAACGGCAGCCUUUCCAAUCAAGGACUCGGAGGAUGUCACCUAUGCCCUCAUCGCCCCCUACUCUGCUGAAGCUCCCCCAGGAUCCAGGAUGGAAAACGCAGAUGAGCCAGGAGAAGAGGAGAUGAUGUUGUACAGCAAGGUUCUGUUUCAGCCCAUUGGCAGCAGAGCAGCAAAAUAAGGAGGCUGCAACAGUUAUUUUGGACAGGGUGUGUGUGUAAGUUGGGACGGGUGGCAUUUCCUUGUCAUAGUGUGUAAAUGGGGAGGCUUUGCCGGGCCUGCUGUUCAGACAGGGACUGAUGUGCAGGGGGCUGCUCCAUUUCUGUCUGAACUUAGCUGCUGGGAAUAAUGCCCAUGACUGACCCAGUUAGGCUGCAGCAUUAGCUUCUAGCUGGGCCAGCAGGACAUUAGAAUUGCUCUGUUAGGUUGCCUUUUCUGUGUCUCUGUAGGUUCCUAGGUCUGUUGCCCAACGGAAACAACCUUAAAUUAAGUUGAAGCACUUUUAAGGGGCAAAAAUAUGCAAUAGAUCAGGAAUUGAUGGAGACUUACUUCUUCCCCCCCCCAUGUAGUCCACACGCAGUCUAGAUCUAUUGCAUAUUGUUGCGUGCACCCCAAUCUCUGAGCGGAGAGAGACUUCCAGGGGUGCCAGGGCUUACCCAGGGUUCGGUUUCCUUGGAAUGAAGGUCAGCAGAGGUCAUGGAAUUGUUUUUAAAUAUUUUUAAGAAGAUUUUAAAGAUCUUUUUAAAGAUGCUUUGUUUUUAAGAUGUUCUAAAGAUUUUGUUUAGUGUUUUAUUGGUUGUUUGCCACCCUGGGCUCCUUAGGGAGGAAGGGCAGGAUAUAAAUGUAAUAAAUAAAUAAUAAUUAUUAUUCAAAUCCAAUUUGUUAAAAUCAUCAGAGACCUCCCUUUCUGAGCUAUAAGUGUGCACAACCUGGGGCCAGAGAGGUACCUCUGAAGGGCUGUAACUCAGUGGUAGAGCAUCUGCUGAAGCUGGUAAAUGGUACUCCUGGGCCACUGCUGAUGGAGAUGGAUACAGGAGCACCCACACACUACAAAACUGCUCUUUCAGGGGGAGUCCAUCCCUAUUGGAAGCAGGCAGCUGACCAAUUACCUGGACUCAGGAACGGUCCACCCACAGCACCUCCAUCUUGUCAAGAUUCAGAGCCUGUUGGUUAGUUGGCUCUCAUCCAGCUCACUGCCAUUGAGUCCUGGCUCUAGUCCAGAGCUUGCGGGGCCUCUCCUGAUGCAGACGUAAUAGAGAAACAGAGCUGGGUGUCAUCAUUUGUUUUGCAUGCAGAAGGUUGCAGGCUCGAUCCUCCGCAUCACCAGGCAGUGCUCAGAAAGAGUCCCUGCUGGAAACUCUAGAGAGCUGCUGCCAGUCAGUGUAGACAAUACUGAGCCAGGUGGACCAACAGUCUAACCACAAAGUGUGUAUAUUAGGUAGAAUUGCACACAGAAAUAAAUAUUAGAAGAAAUGCACACUAAAAUGUACAUGAAUGUUCAUGAGGAGUUUAAAAAAAAUUGUAAACCUGGGACCUAUUGGUGAAGGAGGGGGAUUUUAUUGUUGUUGUUGUUACCAUUUACCUAGAGAGGUAGUGGGCUCUCCAACACUGGAGGCCUUCAAGAGGCAGCUGGACAGCCAUCUGUCGGGAAUGCUUUGAUUUGGAUUCCUCCAUUGAGCAGGGGGUUGGACUUGAUGGCCUUAUAGGCCCCUUCCAACUCUACUAUUCUGUGAUUCUAUUAUUAUUAUUAUUAUUAUUAUAAAAAAUCUGGUGCAGAAAUGUGGUGAACUGAACUAAAGACUGGAAAGAUGGCAAACUCAGCAAAACCAAAACUGAGGGAUUUGUACAUCUUUCGAGUGCUCUGUAUGCCCCUGGGGCAUGGUCAGUGUCUAAAGAGGUACAGGAUAUGGCAUAGUCACUGCCCUCAAACUUGUAUUCUUCCUUGUGCUGGUGGAACAGAUACGUUGCCCAGGCAGAGAUGCAGUAUCUCCACAGCUGCACUUCUUUCCGGUCAGAAAUCAUUGUUUGUUAUUAACUUUGUUUUGAUGUUUGUGGAUGUUCACACACUCUGAAAUUAUAUUCCUGUGGUGUGACGACAACGAGAUGGACGAUGGGAGUGGCUCCAGGGGGCCCUUAAGGUUGCAAAGAGACUUGUACUACCAAGCUGGAAGGAUAAACACUCCUGAUCCACUGGAGAUCUCACUCCCCUUUCUCCGUUUGAACAUGUGGCUUAUAAUGAUCUCAUUUAGAUACCUGUUUGGGCAUAUGGACUACCUAAAUUAAUCUAUAUGUUUAAGUGGAAAUAAAAAGAAAUAAAUAUUGUUAAUGAGG